UACGUAGGGGGCAAGCGUUGUCCGGAUUUAUUGGGCGUAAAGAGCGUGUAGGCGGUUUGGUAGGUCCGCUGUGAAAACUCGAGGCUCAACCUCGAGACGCCGGUGGAAACCAUCAGACUAGAGUCCGGAAGAGGAGAGUGGAAUUCCCAGUGUAGAGGUGAAAUUCGUAGAUAUUGGGAAGAACACCGGUGGCGAAGGCGGCGACCUGGUCCGACACUGACGCUGAGGCGCGAAAGCGUGGGGAGCAAACAGG
rnacentral:rRNA from 1 species